rnacentral:rRNA from 1 species
UCUACAGGCUUAACACAUGCAAGUCGAGGGGCAGCAUGGUCUUAGCUUGCUAAGGCCGAUGGCGACCGGCGCACGGGUGAGUAACGCGUAUCCAACCUGCCUUACACUCUUGGACAGCCUUCUGAAAGGGAGAUUAAUACAAGAUGUUAUCAUGAGUAAGCAUUUUCGCAUGAUUAAAGGUUUACCGGUGUAAGAUGGGGAUGCGUUCCAUUAGAUAGUAGGCGGGGUAACGGCCCACCUAGUCUUCGAUGGAUAGGGGUUCUGAGAGGAAGGUCCCCCACAUUGGAACUGAGACACGGUCCAAACUCCUACGGGAGGCAGCAGUGAGGAAUAUUGGUCAAUGGACGAGAGUCUGAACCAGCCAAGUAGCGUGAAGGAUGAAGGUUCUAUGGAUUGUAAACUUCUUUUAUACGGGAAUAAACGAGUCCACGCGUGGAUUUUUGCAUGUACCGUAUGAAUAAGGAUCGGCUAACUCCGUGCCAGCAGCCGCGGUAAUACGGAGGAUCCGAGCGUUAUCCGGAUUUAUUGGGUUUAAAGGGAGCGUAGAUGGGUUGUUAAGUCAGUUGUGAAAGUUUGCGGCUCAACCGUAAAAUUGCAAUUGAUACUGGCAGUCUUGAGUACAGUUGAGGUAGGCGGAAUUCGUGGUGUAGCGGUGAAAUGCUUAGAUAUCACGAAGAACUCCGAUUGCGAAGGCAGCUUACUAACCUGUAACUGACAUUGAUGCUCGAAAGUGUGGGUAUCAAACAGGAUUAGAUACCCUGGUAGUCCACACGGUAAACGAUGAAUACUCGCUGUAGGCGAUAUACAGUCUGCGGCCAAGCGAAAGCAUUAGGUAUUCCACCUGGGGAGUACGCCGGCAACGGUGAAACUCAAAGGAAUUGACGGGGGCCCGCACAAGCGGAGGAACAUGUGGUUUAAUUCGAUGAUACGCGAGGAACCUUACCCGGGCUUAAAUUGCAACCGAAUAUGGCGGAAACGCUAUAGCUAGCAAUAGCGGUUGUGAAGGUGCUGCAUGGUUGUCGUCAGCUCGUGCCGUGAGGUGUCGGCUUAAGUGCCAUAACGAGCGCAACCCUUGCCGAUAGUUACUAACAGGUUAUGCUGAGGACUCUGUCGGGACUGCCAUCGUAAGAUGUGAGGAAGGUGGGGAUGACGUCAAAUCAGCACGGCCCUUACGUCCGGGGCUACACACGUGUUACAAUGGGGGGUACAGAGGGCUGCUACCACGCAAGUGGAUGCCAAUCCCAAAAACCUCUCUCAGUUCGGAUUGAAGUCUGCAACCCGACUUCAUGAAGCUGGAUUCGCUAGUAAUCGCGCAUCAGCCACGGCGCGGUGAAUACGUUCCCGGGCCUUGUACACACCGCCCGUCAAGCCAUGGGAGCCGGGGGUACCUGAAGUGCGUAACCGCAAGGAGCGCCCUAGGGUAAAACUGGUGACUGGGGCU